ACCCGGAUCCUCCGCGUGCAAAGUUAAUGUGAGGCUGUGCGGGCCUCCCAUCCCUCUUAAGAGCGACUCGCUGGGCAUUUUACGAUGCCUCCCACCCGAGACCCUUUCCAGCACCCUACGUUGGAUAACGAUGGUUCCUACGUGGGAAAACUGCGGGCUUCCGAGAAAUUGCCAUGUAAGAACCCGGCUCACCUUGCUCAGCUACAGCAACCCUGGAGUCGGCUCAGCUCAACUCCCACGAUCACCUCCAUAAGGCGGGAUGCUCAUUUUUUUAAACCUGAGGUGCCUAACAUUGAAAUGAUAUUUCUCUUUACAUCUACUUUGGACUCCUUCAUAUCUUCUUUGAAAGAUACCAAAGGAUGACCUGGAUUUCCGCCUAGCAGCCUUGUACAAUCACCACCUAGAGGCAUUCAAGAACAAAAGUGAGAUCCUGACACACCCGGAGACCACCCAGGUUACCCACAGAAUCAUCAAGAUUCAAUUCCCUGGAGAAUUUUUAGCCCCUCCUCCGCUACCCCCCAUCAAUUUCCUAGCUAACAUCAGACACUGGAUCAACCCGAAGAAGGACUCCAUCCACAGCAUCCAGGGUUCCAUAGUGUCCCCUCACACUGCAGCUACCAAUGGAGGCUACUCCCGAAAGAACGACGGUGGCUUCUUCUCCACCUAGUGUUGACAGGCUCCUGGACUAAUCAAUCAUAGUGAAACAUCCUGCUGCCCAUCUCCAUUAAAUAGAUUUGUGCAAGAUGAAGCCUGAAGUGCCUGUUACCCAUGGACUACGAGUCGCCACUCCACUACUCUUAAAAAAUCUGGGAGGGAAGUUUCGCAACUUCUAGAAAUUAGUCCUGUAGAGCAUAUUAACUUGGAAAGUCAUCUUGCUUAAAAGAUAAGGAUUUAGGACAGAACAGCAAUUUUUGGCAGAAAGCAGGUAUUCCUAUUUUGUAAACUGGAGUCAUUCCAACCAUACAGAUACAUCUAUUCAACCUUUUGUGUCAGGUACUGAGCUAAAUGUUGGGGAAAUAGAAAUGGACAUAGACCAUUGUCUUAAUGUGCUUACAAUCACUGUAAUCUUAGUAGCACUAUGUAGCAUUAACAGAUUUCUGACCUGGAUAAAGUC